GUGCUCACUCUGGCAGCACAUAGACUAAAAUUAGAAUGAUACAGAGAAGAUUAACAUGGCCCCUACACAAGGAUGAGAUGCAAAUUCAUGAAGUGUUUCAUAUUUUU